UUCUAUAAGAAAUAAUAUAUAGUAAAAUCUGCUCAAUGAAACAUUAAAUAGCCGCAAUUCGUGCUAAGGUAGCAUAAUAAUUUGUCUUUUAAAUGAAGACCAGAACAAAAGAUUUAACAUUUGAAUUAAUUUAUUCAAUAUAAAAUUUAAAUUUAUUUUAAAUGUAAAAAAACACUUAUAUAUUAGAAAGACGAUAAGACCCUAUUGAACUUUACUUCAGUUUAACUGGGGAAGUUAAAAUAAUUAUAAUUUUAUUUUUAGAAAAAAAUAUAUAACCUGUAUUUGUACAAAUAAUUUAGUUACCAUAGGGAUAACAGCGUAAUUUAAUUUAAGAGACCCAAUCUAAAAUAAAGAUUACAACCUCGAUGUUGAAUAAUACCCUUAUAUUAAAGCAAAAUUUUAUAAAGGAAGUCUGUUCGACUUUUAAAAAAUUACA
rnacentral:rRNA from 1 species